GGAACUUCACACCUCUGAACACCUCUCACCGCUCUGCUUGACAAGACCUGACAAAAAUAUUAUUUCUGCCUUAAAGCUGAGAUGGCUGCAGCGCUGACUCUUCUCCAUACAGUCUGUCUGCUGACAGGUGCUCUGUGUGGACAGUUUCAGGUCUUUCUCCCACAGACUAUAGAGGUUCUGAAGGGAUCCUGUGUGACCAUCCCCUGCUCCUUUGACAUAGAGGAUCGAUUUAACGAACACUUAGAUAACACGUGUAAAGCAGUAUGGACUUCCAAUAAAAAAGUCCUGUUUGAUAGCAGCCAUCCACACAAGAGUAAAAUAAAUGGAAAUUUAAGUGGUAACUUGUUGAGAAAAGACUGCACCACAACCCUGAAUGACAUGCAACCUCAACACAGUGGAAGAUAUUCCUUCAGAGUGCAAUGCAACAACAACCUGAAAGAGACUUUUAAACAACAAAUGCAGAAGAUGAUCCUCACAGACCCACUCUGACUCCGCCCACACUGAAGGUGAAGGAGGGAACCUCAGUGAGUCUGAAGUGCUCUGCUCCAGCUACCUGUCUGUUCCUUCCUCCAAACCUGACAUGGACCCCCGGUCUGGGUGAAGCUGAGGAGACGCUGCAGGAGAACCAGGACAAAACUAAAUUCAAGAUCUCUGUGCUGAACUUCACAGCAUCACACCUCCAUGAUGGACAGGAAAUCUCCUGCACUGCUGUCUACAGCAAACAAAAUGGCAGCACUGAGUCAUCUGUGAACACCAGUUUAACAGCUGAGAUUACAUUUGCUCCACAGAUCCUGUCCUCAUCUGACUGCACCAGAACUGUGAACCAGGUUAAAUGUUCCUGUGAGGCUAUAGGGAAUCCUGCUCCCUCUCUGCAAUGGACUUUGGACGGGUUUCCUGUCAAUCACUCAGACAAAUUUGCGACCAGUCAUGAUCAUCGAAAUGGCACAAACAUGACCUUCAUCACCAUGAGUCGAACACAAUGCAAGGACCAGUUCACCUUGUUUUGCCACAGUUCAAACUCUCUGGGAUCUGCUUCUCAGCAAAUUCUUUUCCUCAGUCUUGUAGCUAAAACAUCUGCAGGAAGUCAAGGCCGUGUAACCUUGACAGUCUUCAUCGCCACAAUUGUCCCACUGCUAGUGCUAGUAUGUGCACUACUAGUGCUAAUAUGUGCUCUUCUAUAUGUUAUCAGGGCUCAGAAGCUUCACCACACUCUGCCUCAGAACUCAGAUAACACCAACUCAGUGGCCACGAACCAGCUACUACCAAGUGGAGAAGGAAAUGAGAUAUUUUAUCUAGGAGUCAGGCAGUUUUCUAUUUUAGGUGACAUCAGUAGAGAUCAUUCUUAACACCAACAUGGUUUGUCAGUCUGCUUGUAAUGUAUAUUUCUGUUUCAAAGACCCCCUCGAAAACAAGAUGGCACAUGUCAAAGGGUUAUUCCUGAUUGAGAAUAGCAACAUUUUUCUUUCUAUUGUAGGAACCCAUCAAAACAAAUGAAGCCAUUUACGCCAACUCUAACAUGCUGAAGGAGCCAGAAGCCACCCAGCCUCCAACUAUCUCAACAGAUAGCACCAAUGUAAAAAAUAGCACAGAAGAUGCCAGUGAGAGCUCAGAGGAAAAACGAGGAAGCAAGGAUGUGAUUUAUGCUGAUGUGAGGAGCAAAGGACAGAAGGAGGGAGAAAAUCCUGGGAACACAGAUCUGUUCAAGUAGCUCUGAUCCACUGGAUGAGAAGCGCACAGAGGGAGAAUUUUACAGAGACAGUGUAAGCCAUGCAGCUGAGAUUGAAAACCUAUACAGUACAGAGGGGUGUGGGGACUCUGAAUGUGAACAUGCCCAGGGUAAUUUUGAAGACAAAGGUGACAUGGAGAAAGAGAUUUUGUUUUGCUGAAAGGUAGAUUUUACAUAUGCCAUGCUUUCUUAGAUAUGGAUGAUUUCUAAUUCCAGUUUGAUUGUUGCUCUUAAUACAUUCAUGAUUUUUAUUCUGUGUCUUUAAAAACAGACUGUUGCUACCUGACAUUAAUGAUCAGCCUCCAUUAAACUUUAUUUGCUUGACUAUGAAGGUCAUUGACAGACAGACUUCUCCCUUCCCAGACUUUAACUCAUGUUGUCAAUGAACAGGGAAUUCACUGAUCAUACAAAAUUAAAC